GGCCUGGUAGCGGAAGGUCCGCGUCUGCAAUACUUUGGCGAUCGCCAUUUAUUGAUGUUUAAGCAGAUGGUGCUCGUUCGAUUCGAGCCUGGGUCA